GCUUAGACUGGAUAGGAAAUAAAAAGGCAUCUUUUUAUUUUUAAAAGACCUUUUUCGGAAGGUAUGCUUAAAGAGGGGCUUGCGUCACAUUAGUUAGUUGGCAGGGUAAAGGCCUACCAAGACUAUGAUGUGUAGCUGGACUGAGAGGUUGAACAGCCACAUUGGGACUGAGACACGGCCCAAACUCCUACGGGAGGCAGCAGUAGGGAAUUUUCGGCAAUGGAGGAAACUCUGACCGAGCAACGCCGCGUGAACGAUGAAGUAUUUCGGUAUGUAAAGUUCUUUUAUUGAAGAAGAAAAAAUAGUGGAAAAACUAUCUUGACGAUAUUCAAUGAAUAAGCCCCGGCAAACUAUGUGCCAGCAGCCGCGGUAAUACAUAGGGGGCGAGCGUUAUCCGGAAUUAUUGGGCGUAAAGGGUGCGUAGGCGGUUUAAUAAGUCUAUAGUUUAAUUUCAGUGCUUAACACUGUCCUGCUAUAGAAACUAUUAGACUAGAGUGAGAUAGAGGCAAGUGGAAUUCCAUGUGUAGCGGUAAAAUGCGUAAAUAUAUGGAGGAACACCAGAGGCGUAGGCGGCUUGCUGGGUCUUUACUGACGCUGAGGCACGAAAGCGUGGGGAGCAAACAGGAUUAGAUACCCUGGUAGUCCACGCCGUAAACGAUGAGUACUAAGUGUCGGGAUUACUCGGUACUGAAGUUAACACAUUAAGUACUCCGCCUGAGUAGUACGUACGCAAGUAUGAAACUUAAAGGAAUUGACGGGACUCCGCACAAGCGGUGGAUCAUGUUGUUUAAUUCGAAGAUACACGAAAAACCUUACCAGGUCUUGACAUACUCUGCAAAGCUAUAGCAAUAUAGUGGAGGUUAUCAGGGAUACAGGUGGUGCAUGGUUGUCGUCAGCUCGUGUCGUGAGAUGUUAGGUUAAGUCCUAAAACGAGCGCAACCCUUGUCAUUAGUUGCCAGCAUGUCAUGAUGGGCACUUUAAUGAGACUGCCAAUGAAAAAUUGGAGGAAGGUGAGGAUCACGUCAAAUCAUCAUGCCCCUUAUGAUCUGGGCUACAAACGUGAUACAAUGGCUGUUACAAAGAGUAGCUGAAACGCAAGUUUAUAGCCAAUCUCAUAAAAGCAGUCUCAGUUCGGAUUGAAGUCUGCAACUCGACUUCAUGAAGUUGGAAUCGCUAGUAAUCGCGAAUCAGCAUGUCGCGGUGAAUACGUUCUCGGGGUUUGUACACACCGCCCGUCAAACCACGAAAGUUGGUAAUACUCAAAAACGGUAGCCUAACUUCUUCGGAAGAGGGAACCGUCUAAGGUAGGAUCGAUGAUUGGGGUUAAGUCGUAACAA
rnacentral:rRNA from 1 species